UAUCCAAUAAAAUGAAACCAAAAAAAAAUUUUUUUUAAAAGAAAUACUAUUUGGACGGGCCUGAUGUUAUCAGGGGCAGGUUUUUGGAUAACCUGUUUUCCUUGUGGGUCCCCUCUUGGAGAACCGUGGCCCCCAGCAGAUUCUCCUCCAGGGAGAGAAAAAGUGGCACCCAGACCCUCACGCGAUGCAUACCGCAGCCAGAAGAGUGCCAGUCCUGGGUUGUGCAGACUGGCAUUCAACCCGGUCCCCAUGCGCAUAAGCAGCCGGCAACCCCAAAACAUAUGGUGCAACUUUACAUGGCUCAGAGUUACCUCCGCAGCAUUUAGAAUCCUGGCCCAGCCCAGCAGCUUCCUUCUGGUCGUUAGAAGUGAUAUAUUCACAGUUUUGACAGAUGGGGGUGGGGAGAGCCAUCUGUUACCUCCUGGCGUGUAUAUAUAGCACAGCCGCUACACACAAGUGGUGUAGUAUUACGCAAUGAGAUGAAACACGCACCAUCUCGGGGACUGUGGCGUUUCCGAGAUUUGGAAAUGGCAAUGGUAAGGGGCUUGCUUAGCUGGCCUUUCUCAGCCUGUAUUUCUCUUAGCACAGUACCCAGGGCAGCUACUUGUAAUGAAGGAAAUCAGGGUGGCCUGCGGGAGGGGAGCUCUGGGCUGCCCCGCUCUGCGUCAGCUGCCUGCUCUCAGAGGCUCCAGGCGUAUCUCUGAACCCCGCAACGCUCCUUUCUCUCCCCAGCACCACCCACCAGGUCGCUGCUCAUCAUUAACCAGGAAUGUGUCUUCUCAGACAAGGUUCUGCUUUGUUAGUGUGGGUUCUUUUUCCUCCUUAACUCUUGAUCAGUUCAACAUUUUCACCUUUUAGAGAGAGCCUGAGGGUGCAGAGCACAGCCCCAGCCCACCCUCCUUCUCUGAAUAGGGCUCUGCCAGCUGCACCCUGGGGGCACCAGGAACCCACUGCAGCCGUUUUACACAUGUCAGAGAAUUGGGCUUCAGAGCCCAUAAUGUUUUGGGGGCACAUCCCAUUCUAAACCCUUUUUGGCCCCCACAGAUAAUCAAGUGAAUGUGUUUCCUUCACAGAGUAUGUACUGGAGGUGGAGGAAGCCGGGAGGGAGGCAGCUGGGGAACAGGAAGAUGGAAUCAAUUUUAGGAUUCCAGUUUUGCUUUGGAUGAUCCUCAAGCUGAGGGACAGGUUCUCCCAGACGCCCCCUCUGCCACACGGGGGUCACUGACCUGGAGGAGGGCCAGAUCCCCCCCCCUUUAUUGAAAGGAAGGGGGUCUUGGACUACGAAGGAACAAAACUUUCAGCUCCUUUUUCUCAUCUGGAAAGAUGAUCCCAAGGACAAAUGCCAGCGUCUAGUCAGACAUGGUAUGACCCAACAGCAUAUAUAUAUACAGCUCCUGACAGGAAGUCUUGGAAAGCACCAGACGCCUCACACCACCGUCUGCCCAAGAGGCAUUGAAAGCUGCGAAACCUCCCUCCCUGGCAGUGAGGAAAGCAUAUGUGUCGAACAUACACACACACACACACACACACACACACACACACACACACACAGACAUGCACACACACUAUUAAGAGUCACACUUGAAUGUCAGCCUCCCCUUUUCCCUUCUAGUUCAUGGCAGAAGGAAAAAAAAAUGACUCUCCAGCUACUUAGGGUAAUUUCUAAUUUGGGCUGAAAUAGGUUUUUAAACACAAGCCCUAAACGGGGAUGGAGCCAAGGAGGCCGAGUGUCCAGGAGAGAGGCCAGUGUUGCUAAAUCCUGAAGGGCGGGCUUCCGGAGAGCCAUGCUUCCAGGAUCCCUGUGACUGUCAGGCAAGCUCCUGAACAUCCCCCCACCUCUCCCUGACACCCGCCGGAGUCUGAGUGACGGCUGUGGUCACACUGAAGGGACUGCACACCAGGCACACGUUCUCUAGGGCAGGGCCCUCUCACAGGGCCUAGAAAUAAAGUGUCAGAUUCAUCCCUUUAAAAGAAGGAAAGAUUAAAAGGCAUCCAAUUAGACGUGUCACCUAGGCAACAAGAAAUAACUUGGGGAUCAGAGCCAUCCAGAGGGGGAAGGAGAGUUCCCCAUGAUAGAGGCAUCUAGAUCGUGAGGUCUUAAUAGCUGGCAAAUAGCAGCCAGCCUAGAGGGAGUGAGCCCCAGGGACAGUACGGAAGGCCUAAGACCCAGCUGGCAAGGCUCUUUGAGGUAGACGGGCCAAAGAGGUGUCCAGGUGGCCUCAGUGACCACACACGACUGCGCAGGAUCCCAUCCCCACCGAAGGGAACAGGACUUGCCUCCAGAAAAGAACAACUCAGAAGCCCCUUUGGCAGUCUUCUCUGCCAGCAGUGCUUCCUGAAGUCUGCCCUAAGAUGCGCAUGCCUCUGCCUUCGCUGUGUUCACUUUUCCUACACUUUGCCUUUGAAAGGAGGCCAUUGUGGGAGCUUGGGCAAGCUUCUGAAGGAACCGUAGGGGUGAGGGGGCCGGAGUAACCCUUCCCUCUAAGCCACCUCCAGAGGAACACCAGUCCACCAACAUCCAGGGCAGCUCAGGAUCCAGCGGCACAUGUGUUUUUGCCCAUGUUCUUCUGGCCCCUCCCCCAUCUCAGUACAUCAUUGUGGGUCACCUCAGGCCAAAAGGCUCCCCAGAUGCCAGGAAAUGCUUCCUGGGAAAAGCCAGGCUCCCAAGUUCAGGGGGAUUACUGGAGCUUAGACCACACCCAAAGGGACUGUUUGACACCCUGCUUAAGGGUGGGUACUGAGAACCAGAGUCCUUGCCAAGCAGGGGUGGGGCCUCCCCAUCAUUCCAGGAACAGUGGCAUUGACAGGGAUCCCCUUCUUUGGUGCAGGUUCUUCAGAACCUCAGGGUAAGAGAGCGCCCCAUUUCCUUAGAUGCUGUGGCCUCUCCCACCAUGUGGGGGUCUCCAGUUUGAUCCACAGCUGUCUGCUCACUGCAGUCUACAACUUCCCCAGGCACCAGGAGUCACUUCCUAACCUUAGGCCCACACUCACCCCCUCCAAUGCUGGGAUGCUGGGGCUGAGGGGCAAAGAUGGCAUGGGCUCGUAAGGAGCCCUUGCCACCCUCUGUGGCCACUCAGAGGGUCUUGGCAAAUAGCCGGGUCUUCUGACCCCAGACGGCUUGCCCGUGGGGCCCUUGCUUGCUAAUCAGGCCGGGAGGCCAGGCCCCUAUGUCCUCUGACUGAAGCCAGAGCCUCCUGGCCUGGAAAAGGAGGCUGACAUCUCGGGCAGUCUCAGGCACUCAGCUUGUGGACAAUGCCUGACAGUCCUGAGCAUUUGCCCAGGAGCCUCACACAUCACAGUAACACACACACACACACACACACACACACACACACACACACACACCAGCCUUACAAAGAGCGGCUAGCUCCAUUCCCCAAGGAAAAAUCCUAUUCUGUAUCACUUUAAGAAGAAAGAUUUCCCAUUUUUAACUCCCCGGAGAUCUAGAGCCUGGAAAAUUCUUCUCUGCCUGGGGGAGUUCCACGCACACGUUGCAUGAAUGUGUAUUUUACACAGAAGCCAGCGCACAAACCCAAGUCAAGCCCUGGCAAAUAGCUGCUGAAUUCACCCAGGCUCCUGCAUUCCUCAGCCAGGCCUCCUGGCAGGGGCCCUCUUCCUGUGUGCUGUGGGGUGAGGGGGACUGAGUUCUCAUGGCCAAAGGAGCCCCGAGGUUCUGGGGAACGGGGGCUGAGGGCAGCCCACAGAAAGCUGUGGGCCAGGUGGCUUCAUCUUACUGUAACUUUUUACAUUCUUUU